AAACGACUCUCGGCAACGGAUAUCUCGGCUCUCGCAUCGAUGAAGAACGUAGCGAAAUGCGAUACUUGGUGUGAAUUGCAGAAUCCCGUGAACCAUCGAGUCUUUGAACGCAAGUUGCGCCCGAAGCCAAUAGGUCGAGGGCACGUCUGCCUGGGCGUCACGC
rnacentral:rRNA from 1 species